rnacentral:rRNA from 1 species
GAUGAACGCUGGCGGCGUGCCUAAUACAUGCAAGUCGAGCGAAGCGGGGACGGGUGAUUAACACGUGGAUAACCUCCUAUAAGACUGGGAUAACUUCGGGAAACCGGAGCUAAACCCGAUACUUAUAGAUGGAUCCGCGCUGCAUUAGCUAGUUGGUAAGGUAACGGCUUACCAAGGCAACUAUGCAUAGCCGACCUGGAGGGGGGAUCGGCAAAACGGGAACUGGAACAGGGGCCAAACUCCUAGGGGGGGAAGAGGUAGGGAAUCUUCCGCAAUGGGCGAAAGCCUGACGGAGCAACGCCGCGUGAGUGAGGAAGGCCUUCGGAUGGAAAAACUCUGUUAUUAGGGAAGCGGUACCUAAUCAGAAAGCCACGGCUAAUUACGUGCCAGCAGCGCGGUAAUAC